UCUGGCAGUCUGUACCACAUUGCAGUCUGAAUGCACAAAUACAGACUAGAAAAGUCCUUGGUUCUUAAAACUUCAGGCAAAAGAGAAGAGUGGGGAGAAAUGGAGGAAAGAAAGUUAUACAGCUAAGUGCAGCCAAAUGUACAGCAAAUUAAUAACAAAGACAAACCCCAGCCUGCACCAUUUCAAACAAGAUCUGCAGACGUGGGUGCUCUGAGUCCCAAUGGUGCAGACAGCACCACCCCCAUAUCCCAAGAAGGGGCCCUUGCUGCUGGCUGGACUUCCCAGGCAGGGCUCCCAGGCUGGACCCAGGAGGGAGGCUGACUCACUGGACUGCAGACCAGCCUGGAAAUCCCUGGAGGGCCCUUCCAGGCUGCCCCUCUUCAGACGUGAGCUGGGCAGGUGAGCGCCGCACUGCUGUUCUCAGGGACCUGCCGUAGCUGUCCUUGGCUUCACAGAUCUCCUGAAGGGGAUCCUUUGUGGAAUGGGCCCCAGGGUGGAGAAGGAGUGGCCUCCACAGUGCGGUUCUGUGACACACAGUGCAGGCUGUUGUCACCAGGCCUGAUGUGGCCAUCGGUGUAUGUCUGUGAGGGUGGUUGCCAUGGCACCAGGCCUGUACACAAUGAGUUCCAUCCUGAGAGUAACACCCAGGAGUUAUACUGACUGUGUGAUGACUUGUACAGGCCAUACGAAGUGGUGGGGCCUCAGAGACAUCCUGGAAGGUGCUAGCGAUGACACCAGAGCCUGAAUAACUCUGGGGGUUCUGGGAGGGGAUAGACAAUGCAGGGAGGGGCAGGGAAAGUUCUGGAAGGUUGUGACAGAGGGAUUGUUGCCCCGAAGGUUCCCACAGGAAGAGCCAUCUGUCUCCUUUCCUUGCCAGAUCUCCUUGGCCCCCAGCUUGGCUUGCACUGUGCCUGUCCUGCUGGGGCCUCCAUGCUGUCUCUCCUCAUCCUCACCACCACACCUCUGCCCCUCUUUCUGCUUUCCAAGUGCUCAAGGACACCACCUUGGUGUCUGCCAAGGGACCCCGAAGCACUCCCAUUGAUGCUCACAUCUUCAUACACAAGGGUGACACAGAGACGGUUGAAGCUCACAGGACUGGGAAACCAGUGCCCAGGGCUGAAGGAGAGCCCUCUUUGUGUAUCUGGAACCUGUGUCGUGGCCGCUACCAGCCUUCUUGGGCCUUCUGUGCUCAGAACAGGGAGACCCAGUCACGGCCUCUCUCACACAGUUAGCCCGAGAGAUCAUUUGUGCUACCUCCUUGUGUGUUCAACAGUUACUCUAUUCAUAAUGUUGAAAUGAAAUAAAAAAUGUUGUAGCCAGAAAAGGCA
rnacentral:lncRNA from 1 species